rnacentral:rRNA from 1 species
GAUGAACGCUAGCGGCAGGCUUAACACAUGCAAGUCGAGGGGCAGCGUGAUGAAGUAGCAAUACGGAUUUGACGGCGACCGGCGCACGGGUGCGUAACGCGUAUGUAACCUACCUUUAACAGGGGGAGUAACACUGAGAAAUUGGUACUAAUACCCCAUAACACUUCGGAGGGCAUCCUUUGGAGUUGAAAGUUCCGGCGGUUAAAGAUGGACAUGCGUUGUAUUAGCUAGAUGGUGAGGUAACGGCUCACCAUGGCGACGAUACAUAGGGGGACGUGAGAGGUUAACCCCCCACCACUGGUACUGAGACACGGACCAGACUCCUACGGGAGGCAGCAGUGAGGAAUAUUGGUCAAUAGG